GCAAUUUCAAUUUUAUGAGGGUUAUAUGCAAUUAUGGAACUCGGAGUUCCAAACUCUCCGUACUUCUCCCGGGCUCCUCCUAUUUUCACACGUUUACCGACAAACUGACGUCACCCGAUGUUCCCGCCAAAAUCAGAAGCAACCAUUCCGCACGGCGGCGGUGAGGCGGAUAAAGUGGUCGUGGCCGUGAAAGCGGAGAAGGUCAUCUCCAAGGCCGCCUUGGCUUGGGCUCUCACCCAUGCGGCCUGCCCCGGCGACGGCAUUACGCUCCUCGCCAUCUUUUCCGGCAACAAGGGUGGCGGGAGGAGAUUUUGGGGAUUUCCUCGAUUGAAAGGGAACUGUCGGAGCUUCGAUCCGGCUAAGCUGCCGGACCGAAUUUGUCAGAUCUCUGAGUUUUGCUCUCAGAUGGUUCUUCAAGUUCAGGACUGAAUACAGUUAUCUGAAACGGGGCCUGGGGUGGCACUUCCCAAAGGUUGUAGGAUUCGAGCUUUUCACUUCCUUACUUCUUUCAUUAGCCCGCCAGAGACCAUCUAAUGAUUUUAUCGCGGUGGCUGUUUGAAGGAGAUGAUGAUUUAGCAGUAUGUUUCUCCAUAGAAAACACGUUUCAGUUUACCAUUUUCAGGCUGCUAUCUACAAUCUCUCACAAGUUUGUCCGGAAAACAUUCAGAUGAGCUAAUGAUCAUAACAUAUAAAUAA